rnacentral:rRNA from 1 species
AUGGCCGGCGCUCAAGAGCAAGGCCUGAAGCUGCUGGGGGCGGCGUCCGGGGUGAGCCCGUACGUGAUCCGCGCCCAGAUGGGGCUCGGCAUCAAGGGGCUGACCUACGACUACCUCCCCGAGGACACCCGGUGCAAGAGCGACCUGCUCCUCGUGUCCAAUCCUGUGCACAAGAAGCUGCCUGUCCUCAUCCACGGCGGCAGGCCCGUCUGCGAGUCGCUGAUCAUCUUGGAGUACCUCGACGACGCCUUCCCCGAAAAUGGCGCCUCCAUCCUCCCUGUCGACCCCUACCGCCGUGUUGUCGCCCGUUUCUGGGCCGCCUACGUGGAUAGCAAGCUGUUCCCUUCGUGUAUCGGCAUCCUCAAGACAGGGAAGCCGCAACAAAGAGCCGACAAGGUGGAGGAGACCUUGUCAGCACUCGGGCUCCUAGAGUCCGCCCUAGCGGAAUGCUCCAAGAAAGGGGAAGCGGAGGCGCCGUUCUUUGGAGGUGGCUCUCUCGGGCUGCUCGACAUUGCCCUCGGGAGCUAUCUUCCCUGGCUCGAAGCAAUAGGCCACCUUGCCGGCAUGCCGCCGUUCCUCGAUGCGGCUAGGACACCAAAACUGGCCACGUGGGCGGAGCGGUUCAGGGCCGCCGAGCCGGUAAGGGUGCUGCUGCCUGCGGCGGACAAGGUGGAGGAGUACAUCUCAACGGUUCUUUAUCCAAAGUGGAAGGCCGCGCUCACUGCAUUAGCAACUAAUUAG